rnacentral:misc_RNA from 1 species
GAUGAAGAACGUAGCUAAAUGCGAUAAGUAAUGUGAAUUGCAGAAUUCAGUGAAUCAUCGAAUCUUUGAACGCAUCUUGCGCUCCUUGGUAUUCUGAGGAGCAUCCCUGUUUGAGUGUCAUUAAAUUCUCAACUACACUGACUUUGAAUUGGUGUGGCUUGGAUUUGGGGGGAAAAUUGUUGUGGGCUUUUUGUAUAGUCUGCUCCCCUGAAAUUGAUUAGCGGUACCUUUGUGGAACUGUCUACAGGUGUGAUAAUUAUCUACAUCUUAGACAUCUGCUGGAAUGCUGCUUUCUAAACCUUACUUGUAUUGACAAUCUUGACCUCAAAUCAGGUAGGACUACCCGCUGAACUUAAGCAUAUCAAUAAGCGGAGGA